rnacentral:rRNA from 1 species
GGGUUGUGAGGUUAAGCGACUAAGCGUACACGGUGGAUGCCCUGGCAGUCAGAGGCGAUGAAGGGCGUGCUAAUCUGCGAUAAGCGCCGGUAAGGUGAUAUGAACCGUUAUAACCGGCGAUACCCGAAUGGGGAAACCCAGUGUGAUUCGUCACACUAUCAUUAACUGAAUCCAUAGGUUAAUGAGGCGAAC